AUCAGAGGCCAAGUGUCUGACUCAACUACGGCCUGCCACAAGAACACGCACGCACACACACGCGCACACACACACACACACACACAUACACACAUACAUACAUAAAUAACGUGCACACAUUUGCUCUCUCUCCUCUAACACACACUGCCCUCAUUCUCAGGAUUAUCACCUGUCUAACAGCUGUGCUGCUGUGACGCUGAGGUUUUGAUCUCUACCUGAGCCGAGCUGCAGUCUGUGACUCUGUGGCAUCCUGAUCUUCCGAGCCUUGGGGGCCUCACGCUGAGAAUUUUGUGGGAGCCUUAAGAAUCAGCUAAAGCCCCAGGGUGGUUAGACGAUAAAAUAUCUCUGAGUGUAUUCCUCGUCUGAGCCAGUUCGCCCGGUGGUCUUUGCUAAGUGCAGAUUAAAUCAGCCAACAGCGUUUUUUACCCAAUAACUUUUUUCUCUUUCUUCAAAUGUUAAUGUCUUUCAAAUUUCAUGAAGCUAUUCACUUAGAUUCAACCCCCUCCACCUCUACCACCCCACCCCAAAAAAACCUAUUUUGUACAAGAUUCCUAUUUUAAAAACUGUUCAAAACACAGAAUUACUGUGAAUUAGACUGUAAUUCACAAUUAUCUGCUGUUUUUACAGUAAAUGUAAAAAAAUACAAAAAUAAUAAUGAUGCACAAACUGCUAAUCCUGAAUGGCCCGGUCGGAAAAAUGCUAGGUGAGGAAAAAGACCUUCAAGUAAUAAGAUGUCUGAGCAGCCAAGCAGCUUCACCUGCUAAAGUCAGCAUGACUUAACUUUUGUCACCUGCCCACAUCCAUGUGUGGACAUCUGACUGCUGCGUAAGAAAAUCUGUGACUGCAUAGACCUCUAGUGUGUGCUAGAAAAGCAAACGAGAAACUUGUUUCAUCUUCAUGUACUGUAUAUAUGUUUUGUAUUAAAUUUGUAUUCUACUUCAAAUACAACAAACAAAAAAGCUUUUGUGAA